rnacentral:rRNA from 1 species
CCACCUGUGAUUCCCUUAGUAAUGGCGAAUGAAACGGGAUUAGGCCAUCGCGGAACCGCAAGUCAUCUUGCCUUUGGGGAAUGUCGCGUUUGGGAGAGUCUCCUCACGGUCUGGCUGACCAGUCAAAGUCCAACUUGACAGUGGCCACUGCCCAUACAGGGUGAUAGGCCCGUAAGGCGGUCGGCUGGCUGUGGUGACUUUUCCCUCGAGUCGGGUUGCUUGGGAGUGCAGCCCAAAGUGCGAGGUAAACUCCUCGUAAGCCUAAAUAUCACCCUGAGACCGAUAGCAAACAAGUACGGUGACGGAAGAUUGAAAAGAACUUUGAAGAGAGAGUUCAAUAGUACGUGAAACUGUGUGGUGGUAAACGGAGGUGUUCUCGAAGUUUCUGCAGGGAACUCAGCCUUACGGCGGGGCGGCUUGGUUGUGUCCGAUCAGCAAUGACGGGGCGGCUCACUUGGCUCUGUCUGCGGGUGCAUUUCCCCUGCAGUUUACGGCAGGAACCCUUGAGAGUGGACCUAAGGCGUUGGGAGAAGUUACAGGCCUAGCUUGUAGCCCCGGCUGUUCUGGCUUCACACUCGAGGGGUACCGGAGGCGACUCGUAUAGCGAGCAAUGCUCUGUUGCGGUUGCCAUCUCUCUGCCGAGUAGGUUGGUGGCACCUCCGACCCGUCUUGAAACACGGACCAAGGAGUCUAACAUGUAUGCAAACCAUUGGUUUGACUAAGACUAACGGCGCAGUGAAAGCAAAGAGUAGCUUGUCUGCUCGAGGGAGGAUCCUUUUCAGGGGCACUCCCGCGACUUCCAUCAUCCUCGCAAUGUUGGGACUACGCAGAGCAUAAAUGUUGGGACCCGAAAGAUGGUGAACUAUGCCUGGCCAGGAUGAAAUCAGGAGAAAAUUUGAUGGAGGUCCGUAGCGAUUCUGACGUGCAAAUCGAUCGUCGGAGCUGGGUAUAGGGGCGAAAGACUAA